UACGGAAGGCAGCAGUGGGGAAUAUUGCACAAUGGGCGAAAGCCUGAUGCAGCUAUGCCGCGUGUAUGAAGAAGGCCUUAGGGUUGUAAAGUACUUUCAUCGGGGAGGAAAAAACAAAACUAAUAAUUUUAUUUCUUGACGUUACCCGAAAAAGAAGCACCGGCUAACUCCGUGCCAGCAGCCGCGGUAAUACGGAGGGUGCUAGCGUUAAUCAGAAUUACUGGGCGUAAAGAGCACGUAGGUGGUUUUUUUAAGUCAGAUGUGAAAUCCCUGGGCUUAACCUAGGAACUGCAUUUUGAAACUGAAAUACUAGAGUAUCGUAGAGGGAGGUAGAAUUCUAGGUGUAGCGGUGAAAUGCGUAGAUAUCUGGAGGAAUACCUGUGGCGAAAGCGGCCUCCUAAACGAAUACUGACACUGAGGUGCGAAAGCGUGGGGAGCGAAACAGGGAUUUAGAUACC
rnacentral:rRNA from 1 species